CUGCAUGAGGCCCGGUGGCUCGUAUCAUCAUGAAUCCCUCCUGAUCUUCACUCGUUCACUCUGCCUGCUUUUAAAUGUCACUGUCUUGUCGUUUCAGACCCGGCCACUCCCACCUGAUUACACCUUUUCCCGCCAGUUUCAACACCUGACCUGCUCCUCCCAUCAACUCACCUGCUGCUCAUCCCCCUGAUUACCCCCCUCAGAAUGUGUAGACUACCAGCUCACUGUCUGGUUCCUCGCCAGACGUCAUGGUGGAGCGUUGUGAAGAGAAGAGGUGUGACGCCCCCCCCCCCCCACUGUCUCGGAGGCAGACCUGGGAGGGUCGUCAUUCACCUCCAGACUGUAACAGCUGGUCCAUCCUACAGCUGACAUCCUCCCUGCACCGUUGGCCUGUUUCAUGGAAGACAUCUUGGUUCCAGAAGACCAGAGGAGGUUAAAGAGGAAACAGGAGAAGGAGGAGAAAGGAGGCUGCUGGCUGUCAUGUCGGAUCAUCUUCAGAUUCAGACACACUGAUUGACACAUCUCUGUCUUCCUCUCGCGUGUUCUCAUUGCAAUUCAAAGUGCUUCAAACAAGAGGAGGACGCUUCUACAUCUCUCUCUCUCUCUCUCUCUCUCUCUCUCUCUCUUUAUGACUACAUCCACACAAAGACGGCUACUUUUUAAAGAAAUCCCAGUUUAUAUAUGAGAACGGUGUGUGUCCAUACUUGUUUUCACAUUGUUUGGUAAAGACAACAUUAAAACACCUGAAC